CACGGAGGGGGCUAGCGUUGCCCGGAAUUAUUGGGCGUAAAGCGCGCGCAGGCGGUACUUUAAGUCUGAUGUGAAAGCAUGCGGCUUAACCGCAAGCGGUCAUUGGAAACUGGGGGACUUGAGUACAGAAGAGGAGAGCGGAAUUCCACGUGUAGCGGUGAAAUGCGUAGAGAUGUGGAGGAACACCAGUGGCGCAGGCGGCUCUCUGGUCUGUAACUGACGCUGAGGCGCGAAAGCGUGGGGAGCGAACAGG
rnacentral:misc_RNA from 1 species